rnacentral:RNase_P_RNA from 1 species
CUUGCAUUGCGUUAGGAAGGUCCAUGCUCGCACGGACUGCGAUGUCCGUAGUGUUUGUGCUCGCUGAAAAAAUAAGGCGGGGCACCUUUUAGGUGACGGCGAAAGAAACGGCUAAGGCUCUGCUAUGCCCGAGUAUUUCUGAAAAGUGCCACAGUGACGAGUGUUGCUGGAAACAGUAGCAGUGGAACGCGGUAAACCCCUCAAGCGGUAAACCCAAACUUUGGUCGGGGAGCUUUGGAUAGCAAAUUGAAGCGAUUCCAGGGGAGGGCUUUGUGCCCUGAGACAGAUGAUAACCUCGGUUCAGUUGUGCCUGACGGCUGAAUUACGACAAAACAUGGCCUACAG